AAUGAGCUGAAAUCGGAUAUUACUAUUCCUCAUGAUGUCAUUAUGAAAUUCAAUCAAUUUUGGAACGAGUUUAAGGAUACCCCUUUGAAAGGGAGAAAUGCAAUAUUACAAGGUGUUUGUCCACAAAUUUUUGGACUCUUCACUGUAAAGCUUGCAGUUGCAUUAACACUUAUUGGAGGUGUGCAACAUGUUGAUGCUUCUGGAACCAAGGUAUGAGGAGAGUCUCAUUUACUUUUGGUUGGAGA